UUGAACGCUGGCGGCAUGCCUUACACAUGCAAGUCGAACGGUAACGGGUUAAGCCGACGAGUGGCGAACGGGUGAGUAAUAUAUCGGAACGUGCCCAAUCGUGGGGGAUAACGCAGCGAAAGUUGUGCUAAUACCGCAUAAGAUCUACGGAUGAAAGCGGGGGAUCGCAAGACCUCGCGCGAGUGGAGCUGCCGAUAUCAGAUUAGCUAGUUGGUGGGGUAAAGGCCCACCAAGGCGACGAUCUGUAGCUGGUCUGAGAGGACGACCAGCCACACUGGGACUGAGACACGGCCCAGACUCCUACGGGAGGCAGCAGUGGGGAAUUUUGGACAAUGGGCGCAAGCCUGAUCCAGCAAUGCCGCGUGCAGGAUGAAGGCCUUCGGGUUGUAAAGCCCUUUCGACGGGGAGGAAGGCACCGGCGCGAAUAGCGUUGGUGAUUGACGUAACCUGGAGAAGAAGCACCGGCUAACUCCGU
rnacentral:rRNA from 1 species